GAGGGUGUACUUGAUUUGGGGCAUGGUUGAUAGGGGUGGAAUCGGGCCAAGCCCUACCUCUACUUGUGCCCAGCUCGAAAAAUUUUUUCGGACUUCGAGCCAGCCUUAGGUGCGAUUAUUUUAUAAAAAUCCAGUCUCGAGCCCGACCCAAACCUAGGCCUGAGCCUGGCCCAAGGUAGAGAAACCCAUUGGCCAUUUACUGUUAUUUUGGAACAGAUCCAGUUUUUCUUCUCUUCUUCUUCUUCUUCUUUUUCCUUUUUUUUCCCCUUCUUUGGGUG
rnacentral:lncRNA from 1 species